GUGUUGGCAGGCCUUGUGCUGUGCUGUAGCAGGAGGGCAUAGCAGAUUGGGGGCCGUUGACGGCUGUUGCUAUGUGGACUUGGCUCACUCAUCUGCCCACAUGAAGACCGUAUGCUCUCAGAUGUAGACAUUUGAUGUUUUACAUUGAUUUUCCUGUGCUAAAGUUUUAUUUGAACAUAUUUUCUGGCCACUGUGUCUGCAGGCAGGACUGUGUAUAGUCCAGCAGAAGACGAAUUCGACUGCCGUGGUAUUCCGCCGGAUAUUUUUGGGACUUUUGGGUGUUGCCUCUGCACCGGAUAAGCAAUGACUGUGUCUACGCUAAGUUUGAUUGCCUGUGGGCUAUACACGGACGUGUGUGUUAAGAGUAUGGUCGCGGCUUGUGGUCCUAGUUUACGACGGCCGUAGUCUUCCGGUACACUAUUCAUCACCCCGCCAACAGUCAGGCAGUCAGCCAAACGAGGCAUUAACUGCGUCUAUCGUUGUGUGCGACGCCGUUUUCGGAGACCACUCCGUGCACGGAAUUCAUAUACAAGUUGUGGGGCAGCAGCGGAUGCA